AAGCCCUGUCGUCGAAGAGAACUCUGUGACCCAUCACUAAGCCCUGUCGUCGAAGAGAACUCUGUGACCCAUCACUAAGCCCUGUUCAAGGUGUGUCGUGCCGCGAUGGUAUCGUACGAAUUGACGGACGAAGGGCAGCUUGCUUGUGGCUUCAACAUCUGCCAACCAAACCCUUAGUCAUCUGGGAUUUAAAGGGAGGGACCGUUGUUGGUUGUCGCAUGUGGAAGAGAUACCAUUUCUACUGCAAGUUCCACAAAACGUUUAGCAUCUGAAAAUGUUUUUGUUGUUCAGGUUCUCGUAUCCUUGGUCUGCCGCUUCCUAGUUGCUUAACCUCAGUGCUGUGUAGAAGAUUGUACCAACCUUUUUACUUGGUUCUUGAAUUGAAUAAUAAAGUAUAUUUGGGAUGUCGUGUUCGAGUUUCUAUUGCUAAAGGCUACGAAAGGGUGAAUAUACCUCUAAUAGAAGAUUCUCAACAAUGGAUUCAGUUUUGGAUUCUUUGUCCUUCAAUUUAGAGUGACAUGUCUCAAAGAGUUGAAGUCCGAUGUCUUUUUGAAGAACCAGUUCCUUGUUCUUCCCAUUCAGUUGCCCACCUUGUUGAAGAACCAGUUUAUCAUGCACCAUGUCCACAUACAAGGACCUUCAUAGCUUCACAUUCAUCAGCAAAUCCCUUGAAGAGAAGCUGUGUGGAUUCAGGGCACCAAAUUAGUAUGCUCUUUGCUCGACUUUUUAACAGACAAAACAAUGUAGUUCACAUUAAGGGAGUUGCAGCUUGUAAUCAUUAACAGACUUGCCAGAAGUUCAUCAACUAGGUGUUUGAAGAAGAGAAGACAAGACCAUUUUUUGUCAACUCUAACCGGUUCUGUAAUGCUUUAAGAUGGUCAAAACUUUGUCAACUCUAACCAGUCAUCACAACACAUUUUAACUUCGCUGUGCAUCCAAAAAUAAAUAUGAAACUGCAGCAACCCCUUUGUU